rnacentral:rRNA from 1 species
UACGUAGGGUGCAAGCGUUAAUCGGAAUUACUGGGCGUAAAGCGUGCGUAGGCGGCGCUGUAAGACAGAUGUGAAAUCCCCGGGCUUAACCUGGGAACUGCAUUUGUGACUGCAGUGCUAGAGUGUGUCAGAGGGGGGUGGAAUUCCACGUGUAGCAGUGAAAUGCGUAGAGAUGUGGAGGAACACCGAUGGCGAAGGCAGCCCCCUGGGAUAACACUGACGCUCAGGCACGAAAGCGUGGGGAGCAAACAGGAUUA